rnacentral:rRNA from 1 species
UACGUAGGUGGCGAGCGUUAUCCGGAUUUAUUGGGCGUAAAGCGUGCGCAGGCGGUUUAUUAAGUCUAAGAUUAAAGCCCGGAGCUUAACUCCGGUUCGUCUUAGAAACUGGUAGACUUGAGUAUGGUAGAGGCAAAUGGAAUUCCUAGUGUAGCGGUGAAAUGCGUAGAUAUUAGGAGGAACACCAGUGGCGAAGGCGGCUUACUGGACUGUAACUGACGUUGAGGCUCGAAAGCGUGGGGAGCAAACAGG